GCCGAUACUCAUUUUCCCACAUCUCUACUUGCCUUAUUGAUAAAGCAUUUCUAUCCAAAAAUCCUGCCAGAGCCGCAGGAUAUGUCACAUGGACCAGACAUAGUGCUUGGAAUUAUAUCGCUAGGAGACGCCACCAUAGACUCGUUCAUCAACUUCCCAUGGUUAACAUUUGCUGCACACGCCAUUGAUUCUGAUUCCUGAACAUAGCUCCACAGCACCUGGAGGUAUUCUGGGUUUGUAUUUCAACAGUUUUGCAUAUUCAUUUAGUAUAUGAUACAUGUAAUCAUACACAUAAUCCAUCUUCAGAUCUUCUUGAAUGAAGUUGCUGGCGGCCUCCCCUAUUGCCUGUGCCUGUUGAGUGUGAUUGUUGCCCCAUUCUACGGAAAACUUAAGAGAACUGCACUUGGCGUUAUCCCUAAUAGGCCAGUAAUGCUGCAGUGGGAGCAUGCCUCUUACAUAGAAAUCAUAGUAACGUGGCUUCACGUACAAGGUCAUGGAAUCGCAUGCUAAUAUGUAUUUCUCGCUCACAGACCACGCCCAUCCCUCUAUAUAAAUCUUGUAUCUAUGGGUGCAUUGAUCUUGUAGAUUUGAUUGUUUGAACCCUUGUUUAGAUUCUUGUUCCCAGUCCUGAACAUAUAAGCGAGCGUUCCAAUCGUUUUGGUCUGAAACGUUGCAUUUGAGAAGGUCUUGUCUUGUUGGAUCCACAUAUGGGUUGCCUUUCCAAUAAGCAUAGGGUACCCUGUCCUUCCAUUUGAUUCUGCUGUUACCUUCUUUUAUGUCCUUCAACACAUUUUUCCACGGCCUUACAUUUAUCUCAGCCCAGCCCCAAAAUGACCAAUCAGGGAACACAAUAUCCAAGCUCUGAUGGUCCGAGCAGUAUCUGAACAACGGUGGUGGGCUAGCAUUUGGGCCUUGAAAGUCCGACGAUCGGACGACUGGCCUAUCACCGCAAUCAAACAUCAGUUCCAAAUCAGGCAAUCUUCCAGGGUACCACCUUAGGAGCUGCAAUAUACCCCAGAGAGUGAACAUAUCUCUGCUCUGUAUGGACUGGGUAUACUUCUCUACAUAGGCCUUCCCGUUCACAAUCACAAGCCUAAAAUGCGCCUUCGGGCGCGCCCGUUCGAUCAUGUCACUCGUGAUUCCCGUCUCUUUCCACGGCCGUAGAUCUUCGUGGAUCCAUUGGAAGUAGGAUGGGCAGGUCACAGUUGAUGGAUUUGUGGGGAUGUGAAUUGAUGGGUAAUCUUCUGGACAGGUUUGCGUCUGGUUUCCUGUAGUGCAUGGGAAUUCUGAUUUUUUCUGUGCUGGAGUGGAAAAAACCCUAAAUAUAUAAGUAUCAAAACAACCCACGAUGAAUAAGGCAAGGAAAAUAAAGAAGACAAAUAAAAUAGUGGUUGCAACUCUAUUGUUUAUCGGACGUCGCCAUCCGGUAGCUGUGGAAUGUCUGGCAGGCCAGAAACUGCGUAGAGAUUUCUCAUUGUUCACCUUCAUGAUACUCUGUGCCUUGAAAAGCUAUAUAUAUAAGCUGGUUUCAUUCAAGUUCAGUUCAGUUGUAUAUAUAUGGACUGAGCAUGCCGAUAGCUUGAAGUAUCUACAUGAAUUUGCCUUAGGCGUGUAGACGGAGUUAAUAUGGAGCGCAGACUUAUUU
rnacentral:misc_RNA from 1 species